rnacentral:rRNA from 1 species
AUUGAACGCUGGCGGCAUGCUUUACACAUGCAAGUCGAACGGCAGCGCGGGCUUCGGCCUGGCGGCGAGUGGCGAACGGGUGAGUAAUGCAUCGGAACGUGCCCAGUAGUGGGGGAUAGCCCGGCGAAAGCCGGAUUAAUACCGCAUACGACCUGAGGGUGAAAGCGGGGGACCGAAAGGCCUCGCGCUAUUGGAGCGGCCGAUGUCGGAUUAGCUAGUUGGUGGGGUAAAGGCUUACCAAGGCGACGAUCCGUAGCUGGUCUGAGAGGACGACCAGCCACACUGGGACUGAGACACGGCCAAGACUCCUACGGGAGGCAGCAGUGGGGAAUUUUGGACAAUGGGGGCAACCCUGAUCCAGCCAUGCCGCGUGCGAGAAGAAGGCCUUCGGGUUGUAAACCGCUUUUGUUCGGGAAGAAAUCCUCUGGGCUAAUACCCCGGGGGGAUGACGGUACCGGAAGAAUAAGCACCGGCUAACUACGUG